CUGUGUUUAUCUAUGUCAUUUUUUUCCUCAGGCUUUGUGUAGUCUUUAAUGAGUAUUUUUCCUCAGAGCAAGCAUGUUGGGCUUUGUUUUGUGACUAGAAUUGAGACAGACUGGAACUGCUCAGUAUUUCUCAUGUUGAGUUUUCUCUGGACAGAGUUUCUGUCAGCUAAAAAAGACUUUUCUCAAACAUAGACUAGAUAUGGAUCUUGACACCAAAUUUUCAUCCUCUCAGCUGCAGGCUAGCCAUGAAGUAAUGCAAAAUAUGAGUAAGGACUAUAUACUAAAUCCUUCAACAGGUCUAGUCUACAGUUUGAGAAAGUUUGCCUUAAAAGAAUAGGAAAAAAAUUCAAAGGAGGACUGCAAGCUUGUUAAGACUAUUAGCCUGACUAAUUGGUGAAAUGAUAACACAACCGGACACAAACCAAGCAGACAAGUUCUGGGGAGACUGCUGGUUUUCCUGCAGAUCCAUAGAGUCUUUUUUAUAGAAAGGAGGCCUGGACAUGUGAGCUUGCAGGGAAUCCCUGGCAGAUGUCUGAGUUGGAAGACCAGGAGACAGAUCCAUGGUUUUCACUGCAGUGAAUCCCAGCAGAAUUCAGUUCUUCAUUAUCAAAAUUUCCUACACUUCAUAAAGAGAUCAAAUCCUUAUUCAAUUCAACCGGAGGUUUAUUUCUGCACAGUGAAGAAGCCCAGCCUAUUCUGAAAGAUUCUGAAAAUCUGUGAGUGUGGCAACUUAAUUUUAGGUUUUUAUUCCCCAAGAGGGAGUCUGUCAUCCUUACAGGAUGUGGAGGCACCACUGGGAAUUUAGUUUACAGCAUCUUCUUGCUGGGAGUCAUAUUAACCAAUAUGAUGUUCUACCCGUAUCCACAUCAUUUGUGGUAAGAAGAAGCCAUCUGAGAUUGAGAUUUUAAAAUAGCAAACACACACACACCUUUGAUCCUAGAAUUAUUUUCUUCCAAACAUCUUAGUCUUUACCAAAUGCUUCAAUGAAAUAGUAGGAAAAUGUUUGCAAUACUGGCAGAAAGUUUUUCCUUAGCUUAACUUUUGGAAACAAUUGAGCCUUUUUCAGCAAAACCCUUUAAGAAUUAAAAAGAAAAAAACCCACAAAAAACUGAAAACACCAUAAAUCCUGCAUCAUAAGCAAAGGAAAAGUAUGGAAAAUUUAAAUCCAGCAAUUAGUUUAACCAAGUUAUAAAUAUCUGCAAGCGGAAGCUUUUCAUGUUUCCAUUGAGUUAGGCAGUCUUAAUUUAGACAUUACCCCUCCCUCCCCAGGCCUUCCAAAAAUGAAACGGUCUCAGUUACAGGAUUACUUAUUUGAUGGUUUCUAUUUAAACUCUUUUAGACUCUUCAUGCAGAUAAUGUAGAAAUAAGACUCAGUGUCUGAAUAUUGUUCUAAUCUGUCUGAGUAUUGUUCUAAUUUAAUGAACACAUGAAGUAAAAUAAUCAGACACUGGCAAGAGUAGACUGUUUGGACAGUUCACUUUCAAACUACUGUGCAAAUAAAUCUUUCAAAGUUUAAUUUGAUUCAAGCAAUCCAGUGGUUUCUGUUGCUAUUCUUGUCCAUCUUCUAUGUUCACUUCUCUAGUUCUUAAAAUUCUUCCCAAAAUUUUCAGUACUUGUUUUUAAUUUACUGUUCUUACACAAAGACCUGCCAGCUGCUGUCCUGUGAUUUGAAAAUUGGUGCCAAACAUAAUGAUUGCUUCAUACAUUUCCUGAACUAAAAGCUGAAAGUAUAGUCUUGAUACUAUAAUAGUCAUAACACAAAGUAACCCUCAAAUCUCCCAAAAAAUCUUGCUACCUGAUAUUUGAGAUUCCUUAGGUUUCUUAGUUUUUAGGUCAUCUUAAUUUUUCUUCAAUGGAGAAAUCGUUGCCAAGGAUUGAGCUAUGUUCUUGUAUCAGAGCUGAACACAGGCUAAAAUCUUUCUUAAUUUUUAACUAUCUAAUCUCAUCAAAGUCAAAAGGAUUAUACCAACAUGAAACAAAGCAGCAUUUAUUCACUUGCCUCCAUUCUCUGUCAGACUGCCCAUAACAGCAAUAGUUCUUUUGAUAACUUCUGCAUGUCUUGCCUGUUGUAUCUUGUAAUCUUGCUUAUUAUCUUUCUCAGCAUGUCUUGCAGAUUAGUACAAAAGUAGAGGGAAAGGUUAAAUAGGAAGUGUUGUAUAAAUAUCCACCACCAUCCAAGCAUGCUUGAGUUCAACAGACACUGUUUCUCUCUUGCUGUGCUGGAUAUAGAUUUUGGCAGCCUUGAAAACUUCUAAGAGAAUGUUGCAAGACUAAGAAAAC